GUGGCUAUAGUAUAGUGGUCAGUACGUAUCGUUGUGGCCGAUGAGACGCCGGUUCGAUUCCGGCUAGCCACA
rnacentral:tRNA from 1 species